ensembl:snRNA U6 U6 spliceosomal RNA
GUGCCUGCUGUGGCAGCACAUCUACUGCAAUUGGAAUGAUGCAGAAAAGAUUGGCAUGGUCCCUGCACAAGGACAACAUGAAACGCAGAAGCAUUCCACUUUUUA